rnacentral:rRNA from 1 species
CCUUUCUCAAUUUCCAAGUCUCUCUCUCCUGUACUAGUCCUCCACCGAACACAACACACACCAGUACUAGUCCACCAAGAACAGAACACACGUACAUGUCUUCUCUCCCUCCUAUUCCUCUGCUCCUAAACUAGCCAGACCGGCCAUGCCGCCGGUGACGGGGAAACAUGCUGCUCCGCCGCUGCCGGACCUUCCACCCUCUCUCUCUCCCCUGAUCCAAAUCCCUAUUUUUUUUUUCAGGAUUCAGCCCCAAACUCUCUAAUCCCCUCUCAGAUUUGACUUGCAGGUGAGGCUCUUAUCGGGCUUUGAUUUCGCUGCUCCAGAUCGAAGCUCCCGGCGUUGGCGGCCGCGGUGCGCUGGGUGUUGCAGAUCAGAGUUCAAAGGCAUAGCCAUGGAGCAUAUCGAGCAUAAGUGCAGAUAGAAAGACUAAGACAGUGGGAGGAAGACAAGUUGCUGGUUUGGCUUUUUGGGGAAGAAUGGAGACGACGUGUGAAGUCUUGGCAAUGGCUUGCUCUGCUCUCUCUCCUUUUAAUAUCAGAAAACCCUCUUCCUUGGCUGGUAUGGCUGCCCAUCCCUUCUUUACCGUGUUGCCUUUGUGGAGCCUUUCUAUUGGCUAGGAGUUGCAGCCCAUGCCUAGACCAACUGUUGGUCAAUUGACUACUGAUAUACAUAUUAUGCACGUGAUGGUGGUGGUCAAAUGUGUAUCUCAAAUGUGUCUUGCUGUCCUGGUUGACUCAGAGAUAUUUUUUUGUUGGUCUAAGUUUGAUGUGGCAUUGUUGUAUAGCUUAGCAUAGUCUGGUCUCCCUAUAUUUUUUUUGUUUCCAAAGAUUUGUAAUAUAACUGUACAACUAUACUGUUUGAGAUGUGUGAAUAUAAAUAUAUAUUUGAGUGGUUAUGCUUGUUGAAGAAA